rnacentral:rRNA from 1 species
UACGGAGGGUGCAAGCGUUGUCCGGAUUUAUUGGGUUUAAAGGGUGCGUAGGCGGCCCAUUAAGUCAGCGGUGAAAGCCCGGGGCUCAACCCUGGAACUGCCGUUGAUACUGGCGGGCUUGAGUUCGGUCGAGGCGGGCGGAACUGGUGGUGUAGCGGUGAAAUGCAUAGAUACCACCAAGAACCCCGAUUGCGUAGGCAGCUCGCUAGGCCGAAACUGACGCUGAGGCACGAAAGCGUGGGGAGCGAACAGG